CCUACGGGAGGCAGCAGUGAGGAAUAUUGGUCAAUGGGCGUAGGCCUGGACCAGCCAAGUAGCGUGCGGGAAGACGGCCCUAUGGGUUGUAAACCGCUUUUGCACGGGAAUAAAGUUGGGGACGUGUCCCCUUUUGCAUGUACCGUGAGAAUAAGGACCGGCUAAUUCCGUGCCAGCAGCCGCGGUAAU
rnacentral:rRNA from 1 species